GUGGGUGUAGCUCAGCUGGUAGAGCACCGCCUUGUGGUGGCGGUGGUCGCGGGUUCGAGUCCCGUCACUCACCCA
rnacentral:tRNA from 1 species